rnacentral:lncRNA from 1 species
UCAGCUUCCAUCGCAUGAAACUCCUUUCAUUCUUCCAUUCCAGAUCAAUCUUGCGCAAGAAGGAGUACCUGAAAUCCUCUCAGGCGCGUCCUUUCAGCUUCCAACACAAAUCAGUCUUCCACCUCAGUUAGGUCCUAUGCAGAAGGAGGAAACUGAAACUCCUUUCAUCCUUCCAAUGCAAACAAUCCAUGCCCAGGAGGAACAAAUGGUAGUCCAAUGGCCCAAACCAAAGGAGCAUGCAGAUCAAUGUCUUCCAAAACCUCCGGAUAAGGUAGAAUUUAUUUUGCUUGAACUUGAUGCCAAAUUGCAGCCACCCAUGGAGAAAUAUCAAUUGAACUUGGAAGUGCUCAAAAAUACAAACAUGAGGGCUAGAG